UACGAAGGACCCAAGCGUUAUCCGGAUUUAUUGGGUUUAAAGGGUGCGUAGGCGGGUUAUUAAGUCAGUGGUGAAAGCCUACAGCUUAACUGUAGAAUUGCCAUUGAUACUGAUGAUCUUGAGUAUGAUUGAGGUGGGCGGAAUGUGUCAUGUAGCGGUGAAAUGCUUAGAUAUGACACAGAACACCGAUUGCGAAGGCAGCUCACUAAGCCAUAACUGACGCUGAUGCACGAAAGCGUGGGGAGCAAACAGG
rnacentral:rRNA from 1 species